AGAGUUUGAUCCUGGCUCAGAAUCAACGCUGGCGGCGUGCCUAACACAUGCAAGUCGAACGAGAAAGUGGAGCAAUCCAUGAGUAAAGUGGCGACCGGGUGAGUAACACGUGACUAACCUACCCUCAAGUGGGGAAUAACUUCGGGAAACCGAGGCUAAUACCGCAUAAUACCCACGGGUCAAAGGAGCAAUUCGCUUGA
rnacentral:rRNA from 1 species